ACUUGAAUCAAGCUACUCCCAGCUUCUGCACACAUCUGGUCCAACACUACUUUGGGAUAUGUUUUGCUAAGGUUGCUGUUCUGCCUGGAAGGCCCUCAUUCCUCAGCUGCAUGACCCGAGGUUUCCUUCCUCUAAGACCUUGCUAGCGGCUCCUAGAUGCCUUCCAAACCAAAUUCUCUUCUAUGAGAUCAGCUCUUAGCUUUGUAUUCCCUGGCACUUAUGGAGUAUGUUAUGGAGAAAGACUGUCUAGUUGAAGGAAAACAAGCUCUGGGCUCCCACUGAUUCUACGUUAUGGGAUGCUACUUGCUUCUAACAUCAUGUUAAUCAGCAAUGUAAGCUCUGGCAUAGCUUACCAACCCUAAGAGUGGCAGGGAGUUGCUCUGUGUAAUGGUGGAGUACUCAGCUGUCUUCUCCAUGGUGGUUGAGUUCUCUGGAUGGGAUCAGCUUUCUUCACAUGUCACUGAAGUGAAAGGGGACAAUUGAAACCUAUUUUGACAGGUUUAAAAGCUAAAGCCAAGCCAGGAAGAGGAAGACAAGAUGAGAAACCCCAAAUCAAGGUAAGAGAAGAAAAUAAGUGCAACAUGCCAGAAAUCCAGUAAAGCAGUUCAAGUAUCAGAAGAGCGUGAAUCAAAACCAAGUGCAAGAAGAGGCACCUUGACAUUGAACUGAAGGCCACCAGGUACUCACUGGGUCAAUGACUCUUCUCAUUUUUAUUCUCCUGCCAGUGCUUCCAAUCGCUGAACUGAACUGGGAACAAAUCAACAAGGGAAACCAAGAGAUGCAUUCCUUGAAGUUCAGCCUCCAGGCCUCAAGUAAGGCAGAGGAAGAGAAUACAUAGAUCUGUGGAGAAGAGUGGUGAUGGUGGGAGCUGCCAAUAAAGAACUAUCAAAAAAGGAUGAUGCAACAGAAAAGCCGUCACCAGAUACCAGCACCUUAAUGUUGGACUUCUCAGCCUCCAGAACUGUAAGAAAUAAAUCCCUGUUCUUUAUAAAUUACCCAGUCUCAGGUAUCCUGCUAUAGCAGCACAAAAUGGACUAUGAUAGAAAAUUGGUAUGAAGGAGUAGUACCAUUGUUAUAACAAAUACCUAAAAAUGGAAGCCACUCUGGAACUGGGUAAGGGGUAGAGUAUGGAAGAAUUUAGAGGAGCAGGCUAGAAAAAGCCUAAAUUGCUGUGUAUUACUCCAGGAUGGUAAGAAAUAAAUCUCUGUUCUUUAUAAAUUGCCCAGACUCACAGCACAAAACAAAUUAAGACAUUAAGAUUUGCCCCAUUCUUAGAAUUCAUUUCUUCCAUUUUCCCUUUAAUUAAAUCAAUGCCAGCAUCUAAGCAGUGUGCACCUUUUGACCAUAGUCUUUCUAAUUGACCAGAAGCUUAGAUGUGGAAAAUGCAAAAACUAUGCACAUUUCUGAUGGGUUUAACUUCUGAGAAAUUUUUACAAGGUUUUCCUUAUUUUAUCUGCUCCAGUAAACCUGUGGUUUCAUGAACAGGCCUAGAAUUUGAGAUUCAGCUUCUAAACUUCAAAGGUGACCUUUCAACCCAUUUGUUUAUAGACUCGGUAUUAACCUUUUGAGUUCUAGAAUAGGGUUUUAGAACUUACUUUCAUAAAAGUUUAUAUAGUCAAUUCCAUUCAUUUAUGCUAAGGACAUAGAAUAUUUCUAGAUUGCACAAUAUGUUUCUGUGGGAAUUGAAUGGAAAUCCAGGUUUCCUGACAAGAAACAAAGGAUCUUUGGGAGGCCGAGACAGGCGGAUCACGAGGUCAGGAGAUCGAGACCAUCCUGGCUAACACGGUGAAACCCCGUCUCUACUAAAAAUACAAAACUUAGCCGGGCAUGGUGGCGUGCGCCUGUAGUCCCAGCUACACGGGAGGCUGAGGCAGGAGAAUGGUGUGAACCCGGGAGGCGGAGCUUGCAGUGAGUCGAGAUCACGCCACUGCACUCCAGCCUGGGUGACAGAGCGAGACUCCGUCUCAAAAAAAAAAAAAGAAAAAAAAGAAACAAAGGAUCUCUUAGUCUCUCUUGAUCCCAGUCACUUCUGAAGAAAAAAAAUUAUUUACCUGAAGUCCAUUGCUUCCUUGUGGGAUUCUUUUUUUUUAAAUGCUGGAUUGUGGAUUAAAUAAAAAGAUCUGAGAAAUAGGUCAGAAAUUAAAUCCUGGUGUUGUCAUGGUGUUUUUUAAAUAGCACCCUUGAAAUUGGUUGCAGAACAUACAUUUUAUCUGAUUCUAAUUAUGUGGAAUUUCGAAGUCAUUUUGGUAACAGAACUACUCUAACCUGUUAUUAAACUCAGGAUUUUUUUAAGAAAUAAAAAUUGCUUGGUAAGAAUGUUAACGUUUAAAAAACUAUUAAUGAAUCAGACCAACAAAGCCUACUCAAAUGAAUCUGUAUCUUUAUUCAUGGUUCAAGCAUUACUUCCACUUAACUAAAAAUGAAUAUAUCCUCUGGAACUUAAAAUAAAGGUUGAAAAAAAAUGAAUGCAUAUUUAAUCUUUUAUGGUUACAGAUAUAAUAGAAAAAUUGUUUCUGCCUCAAAACCCUACUUUUAAAUAAUUAAUGAAAUAUAGACAAUAAUGUCUCUAAAAUUGCAUUUCCCAGGGAUAUAUCUAUUUAACUCCUGAUUCUUUUGUUAACAUCACCAAUACAUGGGAAAAGAAACUGAAGCUUUUUAAAUUACAUGCUAAUAUAUGGCCAUCAAUUUUAAGGGAUUUUGAAAAGUCCGCAAUAGUAAAAAUAGAGUAGGAAAAAUUAUAGUGAAGAAAUAAAAUAAAAUAAAUUAGCUAAACAAUUAGGCUCUAUUUAUUUGAAGGAAGUAUUUAGAAGUAUGUGCUGAUUCUUAUGUUCUCAUACUUCAAGAUGAGAUCAUGUUGGCAUGCACUAUUAGGGCCCUCACUCUUGUCCAUAUUGUUUUGGCAAGCUUUAAGCAGGUGGCUCUGUAAUAUGGUAAUACCUUCUCUUUGGAUAACUCUUCAUUUCAAAGCAAUCUGUAGACAUUACACCUUUAAUUACAGGAGACCUCAAGGCACAAAGCAAAAGAAGAAUGAAUUUCAUCAUGGGAAUAUACAAAGCAAGGCAUUAACAUCUAUAGUUAAAUAAGUCAGCAUCAAACUUCUUGCUGUACCACCCACCAUUUCACACAGUUCAGCUAGCUGACUCGUUCAUACUUUAAGGCUAAUCAGAAUAAAUUAAUGAUUCAUCACUAAUAAAGAUGCAGAGUGUGUACCUUUAUUCUUCAGUAGGGUAACGUGACCCUUCUGAGUACUUCUGGAGCAAAUGUGUAUGAAGUGCUAGGUUUUUUGUCACUAAGUCUAUGUACUCAGAAAAGACACAAAUUUUCAGUAUUCUGGUUUACCACUUGCCAGGCAAAGGAAACUGUAAAUAAAUGUUUCACCACAUAUUUAUGUGAAAAAAAUUAAUUGGUGGAUGGGCUUUGUUGUGAUUCUUAAUAAUAAUGAAUCAUAGUUUUACACAUAUAGUAGGAUGAAGCAUUUGAGAUUUGAUUCUAGCAUUUCUGUCUAUGUGUUUAUAAUUUAUCCAAUGGAAGUAUUAAAAGAAAAGCUUUUUGGGAGGCCUUAUUUGAGUUCAGAAGUCUCACACGCACUUCUGUCAAGUGAUGUAAUAGGAAUGUGUUUAAGAUCAGCAGAUGAUAUAUUGAGUGUAAACAUAAUGUGCUCAUGAUGAAAGCCAAAACACUAAUUUAAUUGAUUGGAAGAAAACAGAAAUUCACCAGGAGUCAAAAUCCCAAAUAAGAGGUCCGUGUUUUCAAGGCUUAUUUUAAUAGUAUUAACUACUUCAACAAAUUAUUUUUCUUUGCUUUUUUCCAUUCACUUAAAAAUAUUUAAUGGUUUUAUUGAACUAUAUUUUACAUAUAAAAUUCGCCCGUUGAAAAUAUGCAACUUGAUGAUUUUUAGUAAAAUUUAGAAUUGUGCAAAUAUGAUAGAUUCCAUUUUAGAUAAUUUCUGUCAUUCUAAAAAGAUCUUUAAUGUCCAUUUUUAGUGAAAUCUGCUCCCACCCCCAGUCCCAGCAAACACUGAUAAAAUUUUCAUCUACUUAUUUUUGCUUUUCCUAGAAAUUUCAUAUAAAAAGUGUGGUUUGCAAAAUAAAAUCCCCUGCACUUGUGAAUGUUAUAUCACAUUGGAAAGGGGACUUCGCCAACGUAAAUUGCGUACAAAUGCGGAGAUUAUCCAGGACUAUCUGGAUGGGCCCAAUGUAAUCAAUUCAGCCCUUAAAAGCACAGAAACUUUCUCAGCUGGGUCAGAGAGAUACAAUAAUGGAAGAAGAGUCAGAGAGAUGCAAUGCAAGAAAGACUCAGUCUGCCAUUGAUGGCUUUGAAGUUAGAGGAAGGGAGCCAUGAGUCAAGAAAUGGAGGGGACCUCUAGAAGGGAACAGUCAGAGAAAUAGAUUACCCUCUAGAGCCUCCAGAAAGAGACACGGCCCUGUCAAUUUAGCUUAGUGAGACCCAUGUCAGGCUUAUGGCCUCCAAAAUGAUAAGAUAAUACAUUUGUAUUGUUUUAUGUCAUUAAGUUUGUAGGAAUUAUUAUGGUAGCAAUAUAAAACUCAUAGAAAUGACUUCUUUCAUUUUGUAUUAUUUUGAGAUGCAUUCAUUUUGUUGCAUGGAUCAUUCUAUUUUAUUGCUGAGUAUCAUUCUAUUGUAUUGACACCAAACUUUGUUUUUCCAAUCACCUGUUGGUGGGCAUUUGGGUCGUUUCCAGUUUUUGGCUAUUGUAAGUGAUGAUUUUAUAAACAUUUAUGUACAAAUCUUUUUGUGGAUAUCUAAAUAUAUGAUUCUGUUUCUCUUGGAUAAAUACCUAAGAUUAGAAUUGCUGAGUCAUAUGGUAAAGGGAUACUUAACUUUUAAAACCUCCCAAACUGUUCUUCAAAAUGGUUGUGCCAUUUUACAUCCCCACCAAUAAUGUAUAAAGGUUCCAGUUUCUCGAAAUAUUUGCCAACACUUGGUAUGGUCAGUCUUUUUGAUUCUAGUCAUUCUAGUGGGUAUAUAAUGAUAUCUCAUUGUAAUUUUAAUUUGCAUUAUCCUAAUGACUGAUGAUGUUGAGCAUGUCUUCAUUUGGUGUUUUUAUUAUUAUUUUUAGCCAUACAUAUAUCUUCUUUAGUGAAAUGCCUAUUGAAAUAUUUUUCCCAUUUUCUUGUUGAGUUAUUUGUCACCUUAUUACUGAGCUUCAAAAGUUCUUUAUGUAUUCUGUUCAAUAGCCAGAUGACCUCACCUUCUAGCAUUCACACCCUUGAGUAGUGCCUUCCUCAUUGCUCCAGGAUUGGUCUGACCAACAGAACCAAACAACAUAUGGCAGAAAUGGUGGUAUAUCACUUCCAAGGUUAGGUUAUAAGAGACUGUGUUUUCCAUCUCAGCUUCUUUUUCUCCCCUGCCAAACCCCUUUGCAUCAUUCAUUCUGGAGAAUCCAGCUGCCGUGUCUUGAGGACAAUCAGAUGGCCUAUAAAGGGCCCCUGGGACAAGGAACUGAGGUAUUUUUCCAACAGCCAACAAGGAACCGAGGCCUGCCAACAACCGUAUGAGUGAGCACGGAAUUGUCUAGCUCCAGAUGACUGUGGCUUUGGCCAACAGCUUGUCUUGAGACACCCUGAGCCAGCACCACUCAGCUAAGCCACUUCCAGAUUCCUGCCCCUCAAAACUGUAUGGCUUGUUGUUUUGAGAUGCUAAGUAUUAAGAGUAAUUCAGCAAUAGAUGACAACUAUAUUCUGGAUACAAGUGUUUAUUAUAUGUAUGAUUUGCAAAUAUAUUUCUCACUUUGUGGUUUGUCUUUCCAUUUUUGAAAUGGGAUCUUUCGAAUACCAUCAGUUUUCAAUUUCGAUGAAGUCAAAUUCGCCAAUUUUUAUUUUGUGAAUCAGGCUUUCAGAAUCAUGUCUAAGAAAUUCUUGCCUAAGGACACACAUUGUUUAUCGGAUGUCUUCUUCUAAAAUGUGGAUAGUUUUAAUUUUUCUACUUAUGUCUCAGAUCCAUGUUUAUUUAAAUUUGUAUAUGAUGUAAAGUAAGCAUCUGAGAUUUUUUGUUUUGGUUUGGUUUGGUUUUUGUUUUGCAUAUAGCAAUCCAUUUGUUCUAACACCACUUGUGGUAAAGAUUAUUGUUUUCCUCUUGAAUUGCCUAGGCAUCUUUGUUAAAAAUCAAUUUACUGUAAAUGUGUGGGUUUUUUACUGGGUUCUUCAUCCAGUUUUAUUGAUCUACAUAUCUAUUAUUAUACUGAUGUCAUACUGCAUUGAUUACUGUAACUUUGUAUUAAAAUUUGAAAUUGCACAGGUCCUCCAACUUCAUGCUUCUUUUUCAAAACGUAAAUUGGAAUCAUGGCUAUUUGUUAUUAACAAACUCUUCUUUCAACAGCAUAAUAAUAUUUUUGAAAUGAAUAAAACAGAUGAAUCAGUUUUGAUAAAAAUUAAGAUAUCCAAAAUGUUUUCAGAGGUUUUUACCAUAGUAAAAAAAAAAUACAAACUUAAAUAACUAUUAUUCACCUAUGGUUUUCUCAAUGGCUACAUUUCAUAAUGUUAGGAC
rnacentral:lncRNA from 1 species